GUUAUAUGGUCAAGUGAAGAAGCGCAUACGGUGGAUGCCUUGGCAGUCAGAGGCGAUGAAAGACGUGGUAGCCUGCGAAAAGCUUCGGGGAGUCGGCAAACAGACUUUGAUCCGGAGAUCUCUGAAUGGGGGAACCCACCUAGGAUAACCUAGGUAUCUUGUACUGAAUCCAUAGGUGCAAGAGGCGAACCAGGGGAACUGAAACAUCUAAGUACCCUGAGGAAAAGAAAUCAACCGAGAUUCCCUUAGUAGUGGCGAGCGAACGGGGAUUAGCCCUUAAGCUUCAUUGAUUUUAGCGGAACGCUCUGGAAAGUGCGGCCAUAGUGGGUGAUAGCCCCGUACGCGAAAGGAUCUUUGAAGUGAAAUCGAGUAGGACGGAGCACGAGAAACUUUGUCUGAACAUGGGGGGACCAUCCUCCAAGGCUAAAUACUACUGACUGACCGAUAGUGAACCAGUACCGUGAGGGAAAGGCGAAAAGAACCCCGGAGAGGGGAGUGAAAUAGAACCUGAAACCGUAUGCGUACAAGCAGUGGGAGCCUACUUGUUAGGUGACUGCGUACCUUUUGUAUAAUGGGUCAGCGACUUAUAUUCAGUGGCAAGCUUAACCGUAUAGGGUAGGCGUAGCGAAAGCGAGUCUUAAUAGGGCGUUUAGUCGCUGGGUAUAGACCCGAAACCGGGCGAUCUAUCCAUGAGCAGGUUGAAGGUUAGGUAACACUGACUGGAGGACCGAACCCACUCCCGUUGAAAAGGUAGGGGAUGACUUGUGGAUCGGAGUGAAAGGCUAAUCAAGCUCGGAGAUAGCUGGUUCUCCUCGAAAGCUAUUUAGGUAGCGCCUCAUGUAUCACUCUGGGGGGUAGAGCACUGUUUCGGCUAGGGGGUCAUCCCGACUUACCAAACCGAUGCAAACUCCGAAUACCCAGAAGUGCCGAGCAUGGGAGACACACGGCGGGUGCUAACGUCCGUCGUGAAAAGGGAAACAACCCAGACCGCCAGCUAAGGUCCCAAAGUUGUGGUUAAGUGGUAAACGAUGUGGGAAGGCUUAGACAGCUAGGAGGUUGGCUUAGAAGCAGCCACCCUUUAAAGAAAGCGUAAUAGCUCACUAGUCGAGUCGGCCUGCGCGGAAGAUGUAACGGGGCUCAAACCACACACCGAAGCUGCGGGUGUCACGUAAGUGACGCGGUAGAGGAGCGUUCUGUAAGCCUGUGAAGGUGAGUUGAGAAGCUUGCUGGAGGUAUCAGAAGUGCGAAUGCUGACAUGAGUAACGACAAUGGGUGUGAAAAACACCCACGCCGAAAGACCAAGGGUUCCUGCGCAACGUUAAUCGACGCAGGGUUAGUCGGUUCCUAAGGCGAGGCUGAAAAGCGUAGUCGAUGGGAAACAGGUUAAUAUUCCUGUACUUCUGGUUACUGCGAUGGAGGGACGGAGAAGGCUAGGCCAGCUUGGCGUUGGUUGUCCAAGUUUAAGGUGGUAGGCUGAAAUCUUAGGUAAAUCCGGGGUUUCAAGGCCGAGAGCUGAUGACGAGUCGUCUUUUAGAUGACGAAGUGGUUGAUGCCAUGCUUCCAAGAAAAGCUUCUAAGCUUCAGGUAACCAGGAACCGUACCCCAAACCGACACAGGUGGUCGGGUAGAGAAUACCAAGGCGCUUGAGAGAACUCGGGUGAAGGAACUAGGCAAAAUGGCACCGUAACUUCGGGAGAAGGUGCGCCGGCUAGGGUGAAGGAUUUACUCCGUAAGCUCUGGCUGGUCGAAGAUACCAGGCCGCUGCGACUGUUUAUUAAAAACACAGCACUCUGCAAACACGAAAGUGGACGUAUAGGGUGUGACGCCUGCCCGGUGCCGGAAGGUUAAUUGAUGGGGUUAGCGCAAGCGAAGCUCUUGAUCGAAGCCCCGGUAAACGGCGGCCGUAACUAUAACGGUCCUAAGGUAGCGAAAUUCCUUGUCGGGUAAGUUCCGACCUGCACGAAUGGCGUAACGAUGGCGGCGCUGUCUCCACCCGAGACUCAGUGAAAUUGAAAUCGCUGUGAAGAUGCAGUGUAUCCGCGGCUAGACGGAAAGACCCCGUGAACCUUUACUGUAGCUUUGCACUGGACUUUGAGCCUGCUUGUGUAGGAUAGGUGGGAGGCUUUGAAGCGUGGACGCCAGUUCGCGUGGAGCCAUCCUUGAAAUACCACCCUGGCAUGCUUGAGGUUCUAACUCUGGUCCGUAAUCCGGAUCGAGGACAGUGUAUGGUGGGCAGUUUGACUGGGGCGGUCUCCUCCUAAAGAGUAACGGAGGAGUACGAAGGUGCGCUCAGACCGGUCGGAAAUCGGUCGCAGAGUAUAAAGGCAAAAGCGCGCUUGACUGCGAGACAGACACGUCGAGCAGGUACGAAAGUAGGUCUUAGUGAUCCGGUGGUUCUGUAUGGAAGGGCCAUCGCUCAACGGAUAAAAGGUACUCCGGGGAUAACAGGCUGAUACCGCCCAAGAGUUCAUAUCGACGGCGGUGUUUGGCACCUCGAUGUCGGCUCAUCACAUCCUGGGGCUGAAGCCGGUCCCAAGGGUAUGGCUGUUCGCCAUUUAAAGUGGUACGCGAGCUGGGUUUAGAACGUCGUGAGACAGUUCGGUCCCUAUCUGCCGUGGACGUUUGAGAUUUGAGAGGGGCUGCUCCUAGUACGAGAGGACCGGAGUGGACGAACCUCUGGUGUUCCGGUUGUCACGCCAGUGGCAUUGCCGGGUAGCUAUGUUCGGAAAAGAUAACCGCUGAAAGCAUCUAAGCGGGAAACUUGCCUCAAGAUGAGAUCUCACUGGGAACU
rnacentral:rRNA from 1 species